rnacentral:rRNA from 1 species
GAUGAACGCUGGCGGCGCGCCUAACACAUGCAAGUCGAACGGCACCCCUCCUCGGAGGGAAGCGAGUGGCGAACGGCUGAGUAACACGUGGAGAACCUGCCCCCUCCCCCGGGAUAGCCGCCCGAAAGGACGGGUAAUACCGGAUACCCCGGGGUGCCGCAUGGCACCCCGGCUAAAGCCCCGACGGGAGGGGAUGGCUCCGCGGCCCAUCAGGUAGACGGCGGGGUGACGGCCCACCGUGCCGACAACGGGUAGCCGGGUUGAGAGACCGACCGGCCAGAUUGGGACUGAGACACGGCCCAGACACCUACGGGAGGCAGCAGUGGGGAAUCUUGCGCAAUGGGGGGAACCCUGACGCAGCGACGCCGCGUGCGGGACGGAGGCCUUCGGGUCGUAAACCGCUUUCAGCAGGGAAGAGUCAAGACUGUACCUGCAGAAGAAGCCCCGGCUAACUACGUG